CUGAAUCACUUCCCCUGUGAGCACCAGGGAUGGUGUGAGGAAAGGGCAGCAGAAAGAAGGAGGAAGGGAGUAAGAUCCUUCUUGUGAGCUGGGGCAGACAGAUUCAACUAUGUCCUUCAAGGGAAUCUUCAUUUAGUCUCAGUUGAUAUGCACCGGGUGCUUGGUCCUCCAGGUACAGAAGUGCUGCCUUAUCCCUCUUGUCCUGGUGUUUCCUGCAUCCUGCUGCUAUUCCAGAUAGCCACUUUUGUUCUUGAUGAAAACUGUUGUGUCCUAAGUAAUAGCUGAGACUGUGAAGACCAGACUGCCAUCACAAGGAAAAAAAUUAUCAAGCUGCUGCUCUGCUGAAUACCAAGGGAAGACAGUCUUUUGCCUUUUUGUAAUGAUAAAAGAAAACUGGAUAAAGAUUGCAGCUAGGGAAAAAUGGAUGAGAAGUACGCUUUCUAACUGACAAUGUAGUGUGUUUCUGUUUUUCACACCUGCAGUCUUCUCCCAUGGGAAAUCUCAUUCAUGAGUCAUAUCAAUGUUCAUUAUAUAUAAAAUUCCCGACAUGAAUUCAUACUUCUGAAAACUGUGUGCCACUUACUAUGUGUUUCACAUGACUGAAGUCAAGUAACCACAAAUAGGACCCUAGGAUUUUACCUUGCAACCCAUUCAAAUAAGCUAUGAGCUUUAUUUAUCUUUUCUCCAAAAACAGAUGAUGUUAGCAUUUAAUGCUUUUAAU